rnacentral:rRNA from 1 species
UACGUAGGGUGCGAGCGUUAAUCGGAAUUACUGGGCGUAAAGCGCGCGUAGGCGGUUCGGUAAGUGGGAUGUGAAAGCCCUGGGCUCAACCUGGGAACUGCAUUCCAAACUGCCGAGCUAGAGUGUGGUAGAGGGAGGUAGAAUUUCCUGUGUAGCGGUGAAAUGCGUAGAUAUAGGAAGGAAUACCAGUGGCGAAGGCGGCCUCCUGGAUCAACACUGACGCUGAGGUGCGAAAGCGUGGGGAGCAAACAGG